rnacentral:rRNA from 1 species
AGUGAACGCUGGCGGUAGGCCUAACACAUGCAAGUCGAACGGCAGCACAGUAAGAGCUUCCUCUUACGGGUGGCGAGUGGCGGACGGGUGAGGAAUACAUCGGAAUCUACUUUUUCGUGGGGGAUAACGUAGGGAAACUUACGCUAAUACCGCAUACGACCUACGGGUGAAAGCAGGGGAUCUUCGGACCUUGCGCGAUUGAAUGAGCCGAUGUCGGAUUAGCUAGUUGGCGGGGUAAAGGCCCACCAAGGCGACGAUCCGUAGCUGGUCUGAGAGGAUGAUCAGCCACACUGGAACUGAGACACGGUCCAGACUCCUACGGGAGGCAGCAGUGGGGAAUAUUGGACAAUGGGCGCAAGCCUGAUCCAGCCAUACCGCGUGGGUGAAGAAGGCCUUCGGGUUGUAAAGCCCUUUUGUUGGGAAAGAAAAGCAGCAGGUUAAUACCCCGCUGUUCUGACGGUACCCAAAGAAUAAGCAUCGGCUAACUUCGUG